UACGGAGGAUGCGAGCGUUAUCCGGAUUUAUUGGGUUUAAAGGGUGCGUAGGCGGACUGUCAAGUCAGCGGUAAAAUUGAGAGGCUCAACCUCUUCCCGCCGUUGAAACUGGUGGUCUUGAGUGGAUGAGAAGUACGCGGAAUGCGUGGUGUAGCGGUGAAAUGUAUAGAUAUCACGCAGAACUCCGAUUGCGAAGGCAGCGUACCGGCAUCCAACUGACGCUGAGGCACGAAAGCGUGGGGAUCAAACAGG
rnacentral:rRNA from 1 species